AUUGAACGCUGGCGGCAGGCCUAACACACGCAAGUCGAACGGUAACAGGAAGAAGCUUGCUUCUUUGCUGACGAGUGGCGGACGGGUGAGUAAUGUCUGGGAAACUGCCUGAUGGAGGGGGAUAACUACUGGAAACGGUAGCUAAUACCGCAUAACGUCGCAAGACCAAAAAGGGGGACCUUCGGGCCUCUUGCCAUCGGAUGUGCCCAGAUGGGAUUAGCUAGUAGGUGGGGUAACGGCUCACCUAGGCGACGAUCCCUAGCUGGUCUGAGAGGAUGACCAGCCACACUGGAACUGAGACACGGUCCAGACUCCUACGGGAGGCAGCAGUGGGGAAUAUUGCACAAUGGGCGCAAGCCUGAUGCAGCCAUGCCGCGUGUAUGAAGAAGGCCUUCGGGUUGUAAAGUACUUUCAGCGGGGAGGAAGGGAGUAAAGUUAAUACCUUUGCUCAUUGACGUUACCCGCAGAAGAAGCACCGGCUAACUCCGUG
rnacentral:rRNA from 1 species